rfam:Schistosoma margrebowiei strain Zambia genome assembly, scaffold: SMRZ_scaffold0001436
GCACUGCUGAGGAGUCCCAUACUUGGACGAAACGGCCGUCCAGUGC